AACGAACGCUGGCGGCAUGCCUAAUACAUGCAAGUCGAACGAGAAAGCUUCUUCGGAGGCAAGUACAGUGGCGCACGGGUGAGUAACGCGUAGGUGACCUGCCUAAUUGUGGGGGACAACAGGAAGAAAUUCCUGCUAAUACCGCAUAAGCUCAACGAUUUUGGAAUUAGUUGAGGAAAGAUGGCCUCUGCAUAUGCCAUCGCAGUUAGAGGGGCCUGCGUGCCAUUAGCUUGUUGGUGGGGUAACGGCCUACCAAGGCGAUGAUGGCUAGCUGGUCUGAGAGGAUGAUCAGCCACACUGGAACUGAGACACGGUCCAG
rnacentral:rRNA from 1 species